UAAGCUCAAUAGGUUGCCGCGUAAUGAC
rnacentral:sRNA from 1 species